AAGAUCAUAAGCACAGGAACAUUUCUGUAGUAGAUCUUCGCAUACGCUCUACUCAAAAGUAGAGUUGUCGCAUUUACCAUGAGAAUGAGACACAGUUUCUAUCUCUGAGCGUGAGAUAUGAUCUCGAUGUGUCAUUUUGUAGCGAGUCGAUGAUCGUUCUACCCAUCGACUUUUGCUGAUGGGGUAAUUAGAUUGAGACAGUCUGAGUGGU